rnacentral:rRNA from 1 species
GACGAACCGAGCGAACGUUGUUCGGAAUCACUGGGCUUAAAGGGCGCGUAGGCGGGCCGCCAAGUCCGUGGUGAAAUCCCCCGGCUCAACCGGGGAAGUGCCUCGGAUACUGGCGGCCUCGAGGGGGGUAGGGGCGUGCGGAACUUCCGGUGGAGCGGUGAAAUGCGUAGAUAUCGGAAGGAACACCGGUGGCGAAAGCGGCGCGCUGGACCCCAUCUGACGCUGAGGCGCGAAAGCCAGGGGAGCGAAACGGG